CACCCAACCAAUUGAGCCACCCAGGUGUCCCAGGAAUUUGUGAUUUCAAUGCCAAAGUGAAACUAUUGAAAUGAUACAUUACCUAAUAGUCGUUGAACUACGCCACAGGAAAGUUCAAAUAGUGACAAAGUGCCUUGAUUCCAGCAGCGAUUCCCCUGUCUGCUUUCGCCUUGGGUUUCCAUUGUGACCAUUAACUGCUGAAACUGAGCCCAGAGCCCUUGAUCACAAGAUCUGAACGUUGCAAGGGAUCCUAAAGAGAAAGCCGGCUGAGAUGGAACACUGGAACACUAAGGAAGGCAGAGCAGAGAAAUGAAAGAGCCUGGG